GAUGAACGCUGGCGGCGUGCCUAAUACAUGCAAGUCGAGCGAACGGACGAGAAGCUUGCUUCUCUGAUGUUAGCGGCGGACGGGUGAGUAACACGUGGAUAACCUACCUAUAAGACUGGGAUAACUUCGGGAAACCGGAGCUAAUACCGGAGAAUAUUUUGAACCGCAUGGUGCAAAAGUGAAAGACGGUCUUGCUGUCACUUAUAGAUGGAUCCGCGCUGCAUUAGCUAGUUGGUAAGGUAACGGCUUACCAAGGCAACGAUGCAUAGCCGACCUGAGAGGAUGAUCGGCCACACUGGAACUGAGACACGGUCCAGACUCCUACGGGAGGCAGCAGUAGGGAAUCUUCCGCAAUGGGCGAAAGCCUGACGGAGCCACGCCGCGUGAGUGAUGAAGGUCUUCGGAUCGUAAAGCUCUGUUAUUAGGGAAGAACAUCUGUGUAAGUAACUGUGCACAUCUUGACGGUACCUAAUCAGAAAGCCCCGGCUAACUACGUG
rnacentral:rRNA from 1 species